UGAACCAAUGCAUUACUCUGAGGUGUU
rnacentral:piRNA from 1 species